AGGUGCUAGGGCUGACAUGGGGAGUUUGGGAUUCGUCCAUAUUUGAUUUACGACUUACAAUUAUUCUAGGUGCUGACGUGUUGUAUGACUCAAAUGCUUUUGAUGACCUCUUUGCUACUGUGACAUUCCUACUCCAAAACUCACCUGGAUCAAUUUUUAUAACCUCAUACCAUAAUAGAAGUGGGAUCAACUUAUCGAGUUCUUGAUGCAAAAAUGGGGAUUGAAGUGUCUCAAGCUUCUUGAUGGAUUUUCUAUCCUACCAUCCUUCAAGGCUUCUCAGCUAAGUGGAAACAUUAAAUUGGUGGAGAUAGCUCUAACGUCGAAAGAUAAUGCUUGAGUUGAUAAAGGUGCUCCAAAAUUCAUAAACCCCAUAACGAUCAUCCUAUUCCUCAAGCUGAAACAACAUGUGGUUCACCUCUUCAAGAACUUCAGGCAAGGAGGACGUUGCGUGGAUUGAAAGGUUUGGCGAGGUUGAAAGCAUCGGUAAAAGGACAUUCUGUUCAACGACAAUCAGCUACUACUUCACAAUGCAUGCAAACUUGAGGAAGAUAAGAAUGUCUGAAGAGAAUGAAUCUUUUCAACGCCAAUUGCAGCAGAAUCGUGAAAAGGAACUUGACAAGUUACAAGCUGCUCCUAUUGGAGAAAAACGGGAUUAUAGUUCACAAUCAAAGGAGCAAAUCCAAGCAAAAUUGUUAAACAGACAAAUUGCUGCUAUGCGAAGUGAAUAGGCUUUGAUUUAUGCAUCAAUACAUCAGCAAACAUGGAGGAACCCUUCAAAACCUACAGAUGCUACAGUUAUGGAUCCAAACAAUCCCCAUUGGAGAUGGAAUUGGCUUCAAGGCCAUGGGAAGGACAAAACACUAAGGAUCAAAAGAAUCAUAGAUCAGCAAAAGGUGCUGCAAGCCAUACCAUGUCAGUUGGAGAAAUCUCCAAAUUAUAUGCUCUAAGAGAUCAAAAGUAAAGAUGAUAAAAAAUCCUCUACAAGCCAAAAAGCAAAUAAUCCAAACCAAGUUUCAAGGGCAAUACCUUCAACAUCUACUAAAGGAAAAGCAAAGACAUCAUCAAGUCAAAGAGUUGGUUCUUGGGGUGGUGAUGGUGACACAAAAAUCACAUUCAACAAAAUUACCGAAAGUGAUCGUCGUCAUAGCAUUGCGGUGUCUCCAGUGCAGCACAAGCAAGUGAAGGGUUAAUUAUUAGACAGCGAUGAGAUAAGAGUUGAAUCACAAGAAGGUGGAUUAAAUGGUUUCCCUUAUUCAAUUAGAGCAUCACUAUGUUGUCAAUACAAACCGGAUUUAUUGUCUGAUAUAAGAAAAGCACUUGAUGGACUUCAUCCUAUGAUAAUAAAGGCAAAGAUUGCAACUUUGGGAGGUAGUAUAAAGAAUGUCGUUAUAAUUCCCUGCAAAGAACAGAAUUUCGAAGAUGUCGAGUAUCGAGUUUGUUGCUGGAUCUGUUCAUCAAGCUCUUAGAUCUGUACUUGAUAGAUUUUUUGUUUCACAAGAUAUCUUAGAAACUAGAAAGAGAAGGAGAAUUUCUA